rnacentral:ncRNA from 2 species
AUAGAUGGCGCGGGGUGUCGUAAAAGCGGCUGAGAAUUACCCGUUGAACUUGAUCUGGUUCAUACCAGCGUAAGAACGCCUGAUGUCCAAAAA